rnacentral:rRNA from 1 species
GACAGAGGUGGCGAGUGGUGUUAGGAAUCACUGGGCUUAAAGGGCGAGUAGGCGGUAGGGCAAGUCUGAGGUGGAAUCCUAUGGCUCAACCAUAGAACUGCCUUGGAAACUGUUCUACUUGAGUCAGUGAGGGGAGGGCGGAAUUCCCGGUGUAGCGGUGAAAUGCGUAGAUAUCGGGAGGAAGGCCGGUGGCGAAGGCGGCCCUCUGGCGCUGUACUGACGCUGAGGCGCGAAAGCGUGGGGAGCAAACAGG